rnacentral:rRNA from 1 species
AAGUCAGCAUGGCCUUUAUGUCCUGGGCUACACACACGCUACAAUGGCCAACACAAUAGGUUGCUAAGCCGCGAGGUGGAGCCAAUCCUACAAAGUUGGUCUCAGUUCAGAUUGCAGGCUGCAACCCGCCUGCAUGAAGAUGGAGUUGCUAGUAACCGCAGGUCAGCUAUACUGCGGUGAAUACGUUCUCGGGCCUU